AGUGAACGCUGGCGGUAGGCCUAACACAUGCAAGUCGAACGGCAGCACAGUAAGAGCUUGCUCUUACGGGUGGCGAGUGGCGGACGGGUGAGGAAUACAUCGGAAUCUACUUUUUCGUGGGGGAUAACGUAGGGAAACUUACGCUAAUACCCCAUACGACCUACGGGUAAAAGCAGGGGAUCUUCGGACCUUGCGCGAUUGAAUGAGCCGAUGUCGGAUUAGCUAGUUGGCGGGGUAAAGGCCCACCAAGGCGACGAUCCGUAGCUGGUCUGAGAGGAUGAUCAGCCACACUGGAACUGAGACACGGUCCAGACUCCUACGGGAGGCCGCAGUGGGGACUAUUGGACAAUGGGCGCAAGCCUGAUCCAGCCAUACCGCGUGGGUGAAGAAGGCCUUCGGGUUGUAAAGCCCUUUUGUUGGGAAAGAAAAGCAGCAGGUUAAUACCCCGCUGUUCUGACGGUACCCAAAGAAUAAGCACCGGCUAACUUCGUG
rnacentral:rRNA from 1 species